UGGGAAUAUUGGACAAUGGAGGAAACUCUGAUCCAGUGACGCCGCGUGAAGGAAGAAGGUCUUCGGAUUGUAAACUUAUUUUAUCAGGGAAGAAGAAAGUGACAGUACCUGAAGAAAAAGGACCGGCAAACUACGUGCCAGCAGCCGCGGUAAUACGUAGGGUCCAAGCGUUAUCCGGAUUUACUGGGUGUAAAGGGCGAGUAGACGGCGCUGUAAGUCAGCUGUGAAAACUUAGGGCUCAACCUUAAGCCUGCAGCUGAAACUGUAGUGCUAGAGUGCAGGAGAGGUAAGCGGAAUUCCUAGUGUAGCGGUGAAAUGCGUAGAUAUUAGGAGGAACACCAGUGGCGAAGGCGGCUUACUGGACUGUAACUGACGUUGAGGCGCGAAAGUGUGGGGAGCAAAC
rnacentral:rRNA from 1 species